CUACACACACACACACACACACACACACACACACACACACAGCAAUUAUAUAAAUCAGCUAACGUUGGACGCGUGUGUGUGUGUGUGUGUGUGUGUGUGUGUAG
rnacentral:miRNA from 1 species